AUACUUACCUGGAUGGGGUUAAUGGGUGAUCAACUAGGCCCAUAGCCUGGGCUCGCACCUACCAUUGCACUUGGGCUAGGUGUUGGCCCAAGGUCGGCUCCAGCGGUCGAACCUACAUCGUUAUUUCUGGCAGUGGGGGCCUGCGUGCGCGCGGCCCCUUC